UACAGGGGGUGCAAACGUUGCUCGGAAUCAUUGGGCGUAAAGCGCACGUAGGCGGUUCGUUAUGUCGGAUGUGAAAGCCCUUGGCUUAACCGAGGAAGUGCAUCCGAAACUGGCGAGCUAGAGUACUAAAGAGGAUCGCGGAAUUCCCGGUGUAGAGGUGAAAUUCGUAGAUAUCGGAAGGAACACCAGUGGCGAAAGCGGCUUCCUGGUCCGACACCGACGUUCAGGCACGAAAGCGUGGGGAGCAAACAGG
rnacentral:rRNA from 1 species